GACGAACGCUGGCGGCGUGCUUAACACAUGCAAGUCGAACGAAGUGGCGGACGGGUGAGUAACGCGUAAUCAACCUGCCCUUCAGAGGGGGACAACGGUUGGAAACGACUGCUAAUACCGCAUACUGAAGAAGGGGAUUGCGUCUGAUUAGCGAGUUGGAGGGGUAACGGCCCACCAAGGCGAGGAUCAGUAGGCGGUCUGGGAGGGUGAACGGCCCAAUUGGGAAUGGGAAACGGCCCAGACUCCUACGGGAGGGAGCAGUGGGGAAAUUUCCGCAAUGGAAGAAAGUCUGACGGGGCAACGCCCCGGGAGUGAUGACGGCCUUCGGGUUGUAAAGCUCUGUUAAUCGGGACGCGGUACCGGAAUAGAAAGCCACGGCUAACUACGUGCCAGCCGCCGCGGUAAUUC
rnacentral:rRNA from 1 species